rnacentral:rRNA from 1 species
UACGUAGGUGGCGAGCGUUAUCCGGAAUUACUGGGUGUAAAGGGUGUGUAGGCGGGGUUGCAAGUCAGGCGUGAAAAGAGAGGGCUCAACCCUCUACCUGCGCUUGAAACUGUAAUUCUUGAGAGUGGGAGAGGUAAACGGAAUUCCUGGUGUAGUAGUGAAAUGCGUAGAUAUCAGGAGGAACACCGGUGGCGAAGGCGGUUUACUGGACCACAACUGACGCUGAGACACGAAAGCGUGGGGAG